GUCUCUACUAAAAAUACAAAAAAUUAGCCGGGCGUAGUGGCGGGCGCCUGUAGUCCCAGCUACUCGGGAGGCUGAGGCAGGAGAAUGGCGUGAACCCGAGAGGCGGAGCUUGCAGUGAGCCGAGAUUGCGCCACUGCACUCCAGCCUGGGCGACAGAGCGAGACUCCGUCUCAAAAAAAAAAAAAAAAAAAGAAAACCGCCAAAAAAAAAAAAAAGGAACAAAAUAUGCAAGAACUGUGGGAUCACAGUUUUUAUAAUCCCACAAGGAUUAUGGAGACAUAAUGGGAAUACUAAAAGCAGAAAGAAAGGAACAGAAGAAACACUUGACAUAAUAAUGACUUGGGAUUUUUCAAAACUAAAGACAGACACUGAGCCACAGAUUCAGGAAGCUCACAGAACACCCAGCAGGAUAAAUACUCUUAGUCCACCUCAAUAAUCUUGUAUGUGAGCUGGGAUGAAAGACUGCAAACCCCUCCUUGGUCUACUAGAUCACAGUUAAGCUAUGGCAAAGAGGAUUACUUGGUCUGGAGAAUGUAAAAAGGACUUGCUUCUACCUGCCAGCUUUAUCACAGCACUAUUUCUCCGUCCUAACAGGGAUCCUUGAUUCUAAUAGUAGCAUAGGGUUCCAUUUUGCAGUUUUUUUCAACCUGAUUUCCCUCACGAUGGCCCAUCAAAGUUCCCUCUGCCAGCCACCUAGUGCCCUACCGCCUUGAGUCUGAGGUUUCCAGAUACUUUCCUCUAAGCCACAAAGUUUUAGUAAUCCUAACUUCUGUUCAUCCUUCCAAUCCUAGGUGUAGAAACUGCUUCUUCAGUUAUUGCAAAAAUGCAAUGUCCAUUUUUGUUUAUUUUGCUUUUUUCCCUUAUAGUUUCUAAUGCCCUGGUAAACAAGAUAUUUUAUAAAAUUUUCUCUAUUAAAAUAAUCUUGACUGCUUUUGUGGAUAACUUUGUCACUUGCAAAAUUAUCCCAAACUGGUUGCCAAUAUAUGUAGUUAACCCAAAUUAUGCAUUAUCAACCAGAAACCACUGGGCUAACUUGGAGACUCCUUAGAGUUUAUUUAAGUUAGGACCCUAUUUUGCUUUGAUCUUACAGAUUUUGGUGGGAGGUGGGCUGGUCGUAGGGGGUGAAACAAUGCUCACCAAGUAAGUGGAAAGAUAAAAGUGCCACAGAUGCUGGGCACAAUGGCUCACACCUGUAAUCUCAGCUCUUUGGGAAGCCGAGGAGGGCAGAUUACUUGAGGUCAAGAGUUCAAGAUUAGCCUGGCAAACAUGGUGAAACCCUGUCUCUACAAAAAAUACAAAAAUUAGCAGGGUGUGGUAG
rnacentral:lncRNA from 1 species